CGCCUCUUGCAUUCUAUGUAUAAGAGGUCCCGCCUGCCCUGUGACUAUAUGUUUAACGGCCGCGGUAUUUUGACCGUGCAAAGGUAGCGCAAUCACUUGUCUUUUAAAUAAAGACCUGUAUGAAUGGCAUGACGAGGGCUUAACUGUCUCCUUCUCCCGGUCAAUGAAAUUGAUCUCCCCGUGCAGAAGCGGGGAUAUUAUUAUAAGACGAGAAGACCCUGUGGAGCUUUAAAUAAUGAGAGAUUUUAUGCAACAAACCUAAAAAGGUAUAAGCGAAUUUAUACUCCCUCUAAUAUUUUUGGUUGGGGCGACCGCGGAGUAAAAAGAAACCUCCGUGAGGAAUGAGGUAAUUAACCUUAAAUCCCAGAACGACAAUUCAAAGAAACAAAAUUUUUGACCUAAAGAUCCGGCAAAGCCGAUCAACGAACCUAGUUACCCCAGGGAUAACAGCGCAAUCCCCUUCAAGAGUCCCUAUCGACAAGGGGGUUUACGACCUCGAUGUUGGAUCAGGAUAUCCUAAUGGUGUAGCCGCUAUUAAGGGUUCGUUUGUUCAACGAUUAAAAUCCU
rnacentral:rRNA from 1 species